CCCUCCCAAUCUCCUCUCUCGAUUCUUCUCUUUCCCUCUCUUUCUCUCUCCCGAUCUUCGCUCCCGAUUCUCUUACCCAAAGGAAACACGCACCCGUGGUGGGUUAGGGAGGGUGUGGUGGCUAAUGUUAGGACUGUAGUGGCAACAAGAGUUAGUGCAUUUGAGCGAAUAGAGGGUAAUGACUUUAUGAAUUCUAGAGGCGAUAGUAACUGCUCGAAUCAGAAGGGUGUACUUUGGAAGACAAGGAUCUGUAACAAGUGGGAGAUGAAUGGUUAGUGCCCUUUUGAUGACAAAUGCCAUUUUGCUCAUGGAGCAGCAGAAGUUUUGUAAUGGCAGAUGAAUAGCUAGGAUUGCUGGAAGGUGGCCCCCCAAUUGUAUGGAGUAAAGGCUAUGACGAAAGGACCCUGGUUUGGUCAUGUAUUGCAUAUGCUCUAUAUGUAGGGAAACUAUUUGAUAGAAUAACUAUAAGAAAUAUGCACUGUGUGCUUUACUCACAACCCUUGGAUUUUCAUUCUACCCAACUGUGUAGAGUACAAGCUGGGACAACAAUCCAAUAUG